AUGAAUGAGGUUUAUUUAUUAGGAUGGCGAAAUAAAAAGGAGGGUUCCUGAUUUUCAUCGUAAGAGAAGGAAAGCAGAUAUAAUCUCCUUGUGUGAUCUUUGUUUUUUUGAGAUGGACUAGUAAAUAAUCAUGGAAAAGGGCCAGCUU